rnacentral:RNase_P_RNA from 2 species
CGAGUCGGCAGGGCGGCCGCGGCGAGCGAAAGCGAGUCGAGGAAAGUCCGGACUCCACAGGGCAGGGUGGUUGCUAACGGCAACCCGAGGCAACUCGCGGGACAGUGCCACAGAAAACAGACCGCCCCGGCCCGCAAGGCCGAGGUAAGGGUGAAACGGUGGUGUAAGAGACCACCAGCACCCCGGGUGACCGGGGUGGCUAGGUAAACCCCACCCGGAGCAAGGCCAAGAGGGCGCCCGCGGGCGCCUGCGCAGGCGACAAGGGCUGCCCGCCCAAGCCUGCGGGUAGGCCGCACGAGCCUGUCGGCGACGGCAGGCCUAGAUGGAUGGCCGCCACCAGGGCCCACAAGCCCAGGUACAGAAUCCGGCUUACCAGCCGACUCGUCCG